GAGGAAUAAGCAUCGGCUAACUCCGUGCCAGCAGCCGCGGUAAUACGGGGGAUGCAAGCGUUAUCCGGAAUCAUUGGGCGUAAAGCGCCUGUAGGUUGUUUAAUAAGUCUGUUGUUAAAGACUAGGGCUUAACCCUAGAAAAGCAAUGGAAACUACUAGACUAGAGUAUGGCAGGGGUAGAGGGAAUUUCUAGUGUAGCGGUGAAAUGCGUAGAUAUUAGAAAGAACACCGGUGGCGAAAGCGCUCUACUGGACCAUUACUGACACUCAGAGGCGAAAGCUAGGGUAGCAAAAGGGAUUAGAUACCCCUGUAGUCCUAGCCGUAAACGAUGGAUACUAGAUGUUGUGCAUAAUGUACAGUAUCGUAGCUAACGCGUUAAGUAUCCCGCCUGGGGAGUACGCUCGCAAGGGUGAAACUCAAAGGAAUUGACGGGGGCCCGCACAAGCGGUGGAGCAUGUGGUUUAAUUCGAUGCAACGCGAAGAACCUUACCAGGGCUUGACAUACUACAGAUUCUUUUGAGAAAAAGAAGUGCCUUCGGGAAUGUAGAUACAGGUGGUGCAUGGCUGUCGUCAGCUCGUGUCGUGAGAUGUUGGGUUAAGUCCCGCAACGAGCGCAACCCUUAUUUUUAGUUACUAAUUCGUUAGGUUCUCUAGAAAGACUGCCGGUGACAAACCGGAGGAAGGUGAGGAUGACGUCAAGUCAGCAUGCCCCUUAUGUCCUGGGCUACACACGUGCUACAAUGGUUAAGACAAAGAGUCGCGAGCUCGCGAGAGUCAGCUAAUCUCAUAAACUUAGCCUAAGUUCAGAUUGUAGGCUGCAACUCGCCUACAUGAAG
rnacentral:rRNA from 1 species